CGGCGGACGGGUGAGUAACACGUGGAUAACCUACCUAUAAGACUGGGAUAACUUCGGGAAACCGGAGCUAAUACCGGAUAAUAUAUUGAACCGCAUGGUUCAAUAGUGAAAGACGGUUUUGCUGUCACUUAUAGAUGGAUCCGCGUCGCAUUAGCUAGUUGGUAAGGUAACGGCUUACAAAGGCAACGAUGCGUAGCCGACCUGAGAGGGUGAUCGGCCACACUGGAACUGAGACACGGUCCAGACUCCUACGGGAGGCAGCAGGC
rnacentral:rRNA from 1 species